ensembl:lncRNA
CCUGCCGCUAACUCUGCGCGCCAGCGAGCUCGCUACGGCCCCCACCCGUUCCGAGCGCAGCGCUGAGCAGGCUCGCCGCCUAUUUUGAGAACAAAGGAUGGCAAAAUAUAGAAUCCCGGAGAGAGAGUGCGGGGGACGCCGAGACCCUCUCGCCUUGCACGCGCACACACACACACACACACACACACACACGCAGUGCACAACACACCUGGGUCUGUCUACCUCGGGCAGACGCUCCUUGAAUUCAGGCUCUUUCAGGGACUUGCUGGGGUGUGUGACCAGAUCCCCGGGGCAAAAGAUAGGCCCAGGUCACGGCCUCCGGCUCUGCUGGGUUUGAAGGACGACCUCCCUACCGCCGCCCAGCCAUCCGUCCCGCGGGCAGGAAGACCUGGAACCACAUGCCCAUCCCCACCCACAUCUACAGACCCAAGCGGGAGGAGCUCCUUUCUCGGACAGCAGGCGCACCCCUGCGCUAUCCCCACCCCCCACGCCCACGGCGGCUCCCGGACCCCGCCAGAGGAGAAACCCUGCAGGGAUCCAGCUUGCCGCCAAACCACAGUUUGGCCACCCGGUACUCUCUGGCAUCCGGAGAGAACUGAUCUCAACGGAAGAACUGGUCGGGUUUGCCGUCACAGAUUCCACAGUCGUUUAUGCUGGGGAGCGAACGACUUUUCUGAGCGUCACCUCACUCCCGCUCUUGGCGAGGCCCGAGACACACAGAAACGUGAGCACCCAGCCUCAGAGGUUCUUUACUAAGCUCUUCGUCCUCCCGUGACUGGGCUAUUGACUCAACCUCUGAGAGGGUGAGAUCGCUCCCCUCCGACCAAAAUAGCAAUCGCUCAGCCCUGGGGCGGAGGCGGGGAGGCAGUGUGUGGGGCCCGGGAGCUCAGAACGCAAAGGCUGCGCCCCUUGGACGGAGCGGGCUCGGCGGGCUCCCAAGGGCACCUAAGUGUGAUAAACACACAACAAGUGUGCUGACCUUGGUGCACAAACCCAGAUGUACCUAUCAAACAGGAGCCAGAUCGAAGAGCAAGCUUUGGAGAAGACAGGUGGGGCCUUACCACGUGUGAGCUUUGUGUCUGCCUCUGCCUAGGCCUUUCCUUCUCCGAGCUGCGGUGGAAAAGCUGGUCGUAAAGCUCACUCCAGAGUUUGCUGUGAAGAUGACAAGAGAUGACCCGGAGAAUGUGCUGGAGAAAUGACGGGCGCUCUGUUCCUGGUCCUGACCCUCCUGCGGGUAGUGUUUUUUCAGCAGGGAGUGAACCCAUGCUCCCCAAUAUAUAUACUUCCUGGCCACGUCUUUGGGGGAAAACUGGUCAAAGGACAGUGGGGAAACAGUGCCAUGAAGUGCCCCAGCCCCCCAAAGUCUGGCCUCUUUGGUCUUUUCCUCCAUGUUAUCAGCCCAGGGACCAAAGUUGAAAAGUAGGUUUCUAAUGCCUUCAGGGGCUUCCCAGGUGGCACUCGUGGUAAAGAAUAGACAUGAGUUCCAUUGCCUGGAGGAGGGCAGGGCAAUUCCAGUAUUCUUGCCUGGAGAAUCCACAAGGACAGAGGAGCCUGGCGGGCUACAGUCCAUAAGGUCACAAAGAGCCAGACAUGACUGAAGCGACUUAGCAUGCAUACAGUGCCUUCAGAUUCAAGUUCAGUGGCGUGGUGGUGGCUGGGGGUGGGGCAAUAUGGUAUGGCUCUGAUUCCCUUUCUUGAGGCUUAAUUUCCAGCAGACCAUGCACCAAGGCUACAUGGUCUGGCAUGCCCUCCACCGCUGCCUUCUCACCCACAGCUCCUGUCCCACGGGCUAGGGUCAUCAUCUGCCUGUUUGGUUCCCCACUGACCAUGGCAAGGCCAUGUGGCACAGCACCUCCUGGUACAGUGCCUGGCACAGCAGCUGACAUUGAUUACUGGUAACCCAAUGAUUGACAGUCCUUCUUUGGGGAAUCUCCUGCUCCAGCCUAUUUCCAUCUCUCUUUCCACAUCAAAGUCCACCCAGUCCCCAAGAAAGUGAAGUUGCUCAUUCAUGUCCAACUCUUUGCGACCCCAUGGACUGUAGCCUGCCAGGCUCCUCCAUCCAUGGAAUUUUCCAGACAAGAGUACUAGAGUGGGUUCCAUUUCCUUCUCCAGGGGAUCUUCCCAACUCGGGAUCGAACCCAGGUCUUCCACAUUGCAAGCAGACACUUUACCAUCUGAGCUGCUAAGGAAGCCCCCAGUCCCCAAGACCAAGGUCAAAUGCUGACUCUUCCACGCAGGCCUCUCUGUCCCCAGGGAUAUGCAUUCAUCUCUCCCUAGUCCCUGGAUCAGUUGGAAAAGACUCUCAUGGCUUCGACCAUGUUCUGCCCUGAAUUACCAUUCUCUCUGUAAAUUCUACACCUCCCUGCUUGGUUGUCACUUCUCAGAGUCAGAAUUGGGUCUUGCCCAUCUCUACGUGGCUUACAUUGCCCAGCUGUGCCCACCCCGGGCACACAGUAGAUGCUCAGGAGAUGUUUGUUGAACUCAACUCUGCAGGUCUGUUCACCAUUUCUUAGCUGAGGGCCUGACUUGAGGUGGACACUGAUGCUGAUGGUGGUAUCUCUGCAGAUCUGGGCUGAGAGAAACCUCAGCAAUCUUGUCUGGAGAUGCCCCACUCCACCCAGACCUGAGGAGGCAGGCCCUGACAGAGUGCCUGUCCUGCUUUUCUUCCACCCUGGGAGGAAGUUCAGAAUCUGUCUGGCAACCUGGGAGUAUGAGGGGGAGGUGAUGGAAGGAAGAAAAACCCACUUGGGUCAGAGUCACCAUCUACCCAAUCAGCUGUUUGAAACAAAAGCCAGGGUCUUGCAGUGAUGGGACAGACCCUGGCCUCAUCUGGACUCACAGCAGCAUUUGCUGCUCAGAGAACCAUGAUGAGCUGGUGACUGUGGGUGAAGAAGGUGCCCUGCCGCAGCCAGCCCCUCCACAUACACCUACAGGCCUGUCACUGGCUCUGUUUGUGGUCCUUCUUGGCUGCAGUUCUUCCCCAGACUCUCAACUCUGCAACCUAGUCAGCACAUCUGGGGUCUUCUCAUGGAACACUCUGGUCCUCCCAGGUGGGGUGCGGAGGAGUACUCUGUGCAGGGAGGGGCCACGACACCCCCACUUGGCCUCCUAGAUGCAACUCUCCUUGAAUGUGUCUCCACAGCCAUCACAGGGGCCAUCUGAUGACAGUUUCACUCAGGUUGCCUCAGGUAACCAACUGUGUUGUGAGGAGAUGCCUGGGAGUAAGGCGGUUGGGAUGUCCUGUGUGUGUUCAUUCCUGAUGGGCCCUGGCACACAGGGGAGCCUGGAGGGCUGUUUGGCUCCGGGGUCUCUCUGACUGCCUGGGCUGUCUUGUAGCCCCAAGGCAGCAGGAACUCCAAGAUUCCAGGUUGGAGUGCUGCCUCCAAGGCUGCUCAGCAGCUCACUUAUCCCUGCUUCCUGGCCCGCUGUCUGCAGCUCUAGUUCAAAUUAUUAAGAAGCAAAGAACUUGAAUGACUCAGGUUAGCCUGGGUCCCUGGUCAGCGAGAGUGUCUGCCCCAGGUCAUCUCUGGGUGCUUGGGAUGUCCAGAGAUCUACAACCUUUGUCUUCUAGGACCCUGAACUCAGGCCACUCCACUAGAUUGGAGUAGGAUCCAGUGGGGCUGCCCUUGGCAGAGAGGUAGGAAUGGGGAGUCUCUUGGAAAGGUUCCUUUGAUGUGUUGGGCACUUUGACUGGCCUGUCCAAUACCGUCAUGUUCUGGAAUAGACCUUGACUUCUCCCUCCAUCCCAAGCCUGAGUGAAUCGGGAAACUCAUCACGUGGACAGCAGGUUUCAUUGCUGAGCUGAUGUUCACACCAGGCCCCUCGUAGGGCCCAAAGGAACAGUGGCUGACCUCACCGUGUGCAGCUGAUGGCCGUGGGACCGGAACGGCCAAAGGUGUAGGGAACAGCCUGCCAGUCUCCCCAGAGGCUGCUCUCUGUGCCACUCAGCCCCUAUUUAGUCUGCAAGAACAGGUUUGGUCAGAGAAGACCUGGGACUCCUGUGGAACACAGAUCUGCCAGGAGAAGAGGCAUCUAGCCCCGCCACUCUCACCAGAGGCUUCAUCCUGAGCCCACAGAAGGCCUCUCAUCUGAUGCCUUCUUAGCCUCUCUUGCCUGGCAGUCUCCUGCAGCAAGCAAGGAUGCCACAUCCUUCUAAGUUCUUCCCAACAAGGCAGGUGAAGAUCCAUUCAUUCAGUCCUUCAACAACUUCCAGUGGCCCAAAGUCAUUUUUGCUCAAAUUGUUGCCCUCUCAGAUUCUGUUCCUUGACCACCAGAUUUUAUUCCAUAUCCUACCCAAGCUUUGCUCCCAAGAUUUUCCAGUCUGUGAGUCCAACCUCUUCCCUAGAGGCACCAGCACCCCCUCAUCUUACCAACCUCCAGCUCUGUACCUGAGAGUCCUGGAAAGGCCCCACCCACACUCUUCCCUUCUACUGCACUGGGGGUCCUGCCCCUUAAUCACCAUCUCCCUACAUCUCCCUAGCCCCCAAUCCCUGAGAGGGGAGCACUGGCCAAAGCCAAUGACUUUGCAAGACCCUAAGUUUGGAUCUUGCUACUGAUAGAGGGGUGAUUAUGUUUGUUGCUCUUUUGGGCAAAGGUGGAAAAGCUGAGCAGCAGAUGAUUAAAUUUGGAAAAACCUGCCAAGGAUCCAGUGGCAUGAAGCCAAGAGCUGGAUUCAAACCGAGAGGUAGAAUAGGUGCCAGCUCAGCUGGUGUGGACACGUUUGGCAACUGACAUUUCAAAAAUGUAGCCCACUCCAGUACACUUGCCUGGAAAAUCCCAUGGAUGGAGGAGCCUGGUAGGCUGCAGUCCAUGGGGUCACUAGGAGUCAGACACGACUGAGCAACUUCACUUUCGGAGAAGGAAAUGGCAACCAGCUCCAGUGUUCUUGCCUGGAGAAUCCCAGGGAUGGGGAUGCCUGGUGAGCUGCCGUCUGUGGGGUCGCACAGAGUUGGACACGACUGAAGCUACUUAGCAGCAGCAGCAGCAGCACUCCGGCUGGAGAAAGCUGGCUAGCUCCACAAAGGGAGGUGACUCUUGGACUAAACCUCAAAAGGAGGCCAGAGGAGGUGGACUUGGGAUACAUUUGGAGAGGUGAUUCUCAAGGGGGUGGAGAAUGUAGAGUCUUGCCCCCGCCCCAUGCCCCCACCCACCAGGAGACAUUUGGCGGCGUCUGCAGACAUUUUUGAUGAGAAGACUGAGGCUCAGGCCACUUCAUUGAUAUGAGUGAAAUAUCUACUUGGAGGCAGAGUGAAAAAUUGAAAGUGACCUUACUCAAAAGUAUGGGCUCCUGGCAGCAGUCAACACUAUCUUCAUCCUGCCAAGCUGCCAGCACCCGCAUUCAUCCAAGAGAUAUUUUCAUGGUAAAGAAUUUCUGGAGGACUUCGCUGGUGGUCCACUGGCUAAGACUCUGUCCCAGUGCAGGGGAUCCAGGUUUGAUCCCUGAUGAGGGAACUAGCUCUCGCAUACCACAACUAAAGCUCUCACACGCUGCAACCAAGACCUGGCACAGCCAAAAUAAAUAAAAAGUUGUUUGUUUGUUUUUCUUAAUUUCUGGGGCUUCAAGAAGAGGCAGCCUAGAUGCUGCAACAAGACUUGUGGCCACAGUCAUAAUUAUCUUGCUCAAAAAGGUUCUUAUUGCACAGCUGAGGUUGCAAGAAGCAAGGGAACCCUUUAGGGGACCAAAUAGGCUGAAACCAAAGUGCGAAAUUAUAAGCACAC